CAUCUCAGUUUGCCCUUUUCUCCCACGCACAGCAGACCUCCCAAAACCCAUCUCUCAAUCUUCAAAACCCCCUUUCUUCGCAAGAAGGAGAAUAAGAAGGAGAAUGAGAAGAAGAUCUUUGUAUAGGUAGAGCCAUUUCUCACGGCCGUGGCAAUCAUCGAACACGAUGGAAGCGUAUGGCUCAGAGCGAGACUUUCCCUCAGGCACACUGAAAAAGUUGCUUGUGCUGACGGAGAGCUGUGUAGGGAAAAAAUCACCAGAUCCACCCUGACCAUUAGGUGUAGUCACAUUUUCACCAAGGAUCCUAAGAAUCAGUCAAAUCCAAGAGUUAGGCAUGCUGCACCAUAGGGAGCGGUGGAAGCAUCCUGUACUUGGCCAACAUGUGCUUGAUGUUGCAAAGGUCAGUCCCUCACAGUUUGAAGCUCAUGUUGGUUGUGCUUCUAAGCAGAAACCAUUUUGGAGAUCUUCUGCUUUGUGAUGGAUGCCCCAGGGCCUUUCACCAGGACGAUUUUUACAAAGUUGGGC